rnacentral:lncRNA from 1 species
UUAAAAGUCCUUUUAAUACAGCAUGAAGAGGCUAUAUUUCUAUAGGCGAGCUGUAUACAGAUUCUCCAGGAAUAAGGCACACAACGGAAUGCCAUCCCAAGGGCUGCACUUCGGAGACGUCGGAGCCUUCUCCACGCACCUUCCGAGCUGGGCCCACGGGUUCUGUUUUGUCUUUUUAGCUGGACUCACACGUAUGGACAGACACAGACACGGACGGGGUCACCGCAUGGGGGCGGAGGAGGUCGGACAGCAAGGUUGGCAACAGAGAAGGAUAAGCCCGCUGCCACAGCCCCCAGGGGACCGCUUGGCCAUCUCGCUGAAGGCUGGAACACCCCCAUUUCAGGGUUAGUCGUUGGACUGAGCUACAAUGUAGUGAGGUUGGAUUAAAUAUUCGUUUAGAGUAGAUUCAAGUCUAUUAGAUGCUGGAGGGCUGGUGUAAGGGCUCCGGUUGACAUUUCCAAGUUCAAGGAGCAUGGCCUGGAGGAGGCGUGGCUCAGAUGGCAAAGCUCCCGAGCGGCGAGGCCAGGCUUUGCCCCACUUCUUCUGCCCUCCUGGGGCCCUGCUGAUUGAGAGCCCUCCCACCAAGCCAAGACGCUGGUGGACCACAGAGGGGCUGGUUAGUCAAACAAGCUGCUUCUUCCCCUUGCCCACUCCCUGCCCCUCUACAAAAUUAAUAAAACCGUAAUAACAAGAUAAUAAGAAGAAGGUGCAAGAGAAUGGAUUACAAUGCUGUUUGUUAUCCUCAGUGGAAGAGGCACAAAGGGGUCACCAUUCCCUUUUUCACUAUGUAUCGAAUUAUAGCUUCCCUUAAAAAAGGCAAUACUUUCCAAAAUACACAUAUGUAUAAAUACAGGACAAGAACAUAUUAAUAAGUCUAAACACUUGAAUAAUAUGCUGUCUACUUAAUACUGAUAUUUUCAUCCAGGAAAAACAACACAGAAAAACAACAAUAUGGCUUAAAGAAUUGCAAAGAUUUUUUUUCCUCAUCAGAAUUAUGUACCAACUUCAUAUAAUAUUCUAUGUAGACAAUAUUUCCUUCUGAAUGUAGUUCAGUUGCAUAUUUUUACAGACCAAAGCAUAGUAAAAAACAAACAAAAACCAACCAAAAACCCAAUAACGGGAAACAGAAAAGUUCUCACCAUAAAUAUUUUCUUGCAGCUCAACCAGAAGGUUGGCAAAAUACUUCCAGAAAUCUUUGUUUGAUAUUCUCUUGCCCUCCUGAAAGUUCUGAAGUUUUGAAAAUGCCUCUCUUUUUGUUUGUUUUAAUCUCAAAAAUCAAACAAUUAUAUUUUUAUUUUCUUUUUCUUUUCUUUUCUUUUCUUUUUUUUUUUUAAAAAAAGGCCCUCAAAUAUAUACAGACAAAAAAUUACUGUGAAGAUUUUUUCGGGAAAAGCUACCAAAUUCAGUGUUGUGAGAAAAACUGGUAACCAUGCAGAAAUUUUAACAUCUAUGAAUUUUUUUUCCAAAAUACACACAUAUUUUUUUAAAAAAGGAAUUCUGUGUCAAGUAUAACUCAAAAUAAAUACAAAUUCACAAGUAGAACUAUUGAAUACUUCAUAUGGGGUAAACACCAUUAUCUCCCAACUAGAUCGCUAGAUCUACCAACUGCAAGCGAUUGUCCCUUUUGAACGUACUAAAACCACACACUUUCCCGUCCCCUGGGCUCCUGGCCCUCUGAGCACUUAAUUCUCAAUGGCACCUGGCCUGCAUGGCAGGGGCUUUGCUGACCACAAGAGAGUUCCCCAGUUCAGCCAGAGCCGAGUCAAGGGGAGUAUGGAGGGUGGGCCUCAAAGCGGGAACCCCAGCCCCCAAGGUGGCUGGCUCUGCACAGAUGGCAGGGCAGUGGCUACCUGCUGAACAGCUCACUGGCAAGGUCACUUUGGGGUGAUAUCCCAACUCCCCUUAGCCCGUGCAGGGAAGCCCUGGCCUCCAGUGGUCUGGGGCCUGGGUUAGUUUUAGGGUGUGGGCCCCCCCACCUUUGCAGCACAGCUGGCAGGCCCCAGGCAUCCUUGGGCCAAGGUCCCCCACGGCCGGGUCCCUGGAAGGGUUGGCACAGGCACGCCGCCCACCACUGCGAACAUUCUCUUUAGCAGUGCGGUAGGAUGACUGUCAGUGGCAGCUUCUCCUUGGGACAGAAGCCUGGGCCGGGGCCAACUCCAGCUCACCUCAACACCUUGGAGAAGACGGGGAACAACGUGCUCGGGGAGUCCUCAGUGGCAGUCCCCAGUGGUGGUAAGGGUGUCCACAGCCUGCUGCCUGGCCUGGAGCAAAUACCUUUUUUAAGCGUUCAGAGGGUAUGGCCCCUCAAAUCCACCCUGCAGCUCCCUGGCUGCAAAUACACUCACUCCAUCUUUUCAACUCGCUCCCUGGACCCCUGGUUAACACUUCACCGUAACUCCUCAGUUGUACAAAGCAUUUUCAUUUGAAUACAAAAGGCAACUGGACACCAGAUGGGCAUCCUUGAGCCAUGGUAAACACUGAAUUUCAGGCCCAUUUCUUGGUCUGAUUUUUUUUUUCCCACAGAGGCAUAAUGUAGGGGCAAAAUCAAGAGACCCAGUUCUGACAGCCGGGAGAAAGGAAGGGUCAAGACCAUGGAAACGGGGCUUCUCAUCCGGGAGACAGAGGAGCGCACGAUCCCGCCGCCAGCCAGGACAGUGGGCUCCCUGGCCAGGGACGUGCCACGAGGCCUCUCUGCUCCCUUGGGAGGGGACUGGGAGGAUCCAGAGAGACGUCUGGGAGUGUGUCAACUGGACAGCGGAAGGCACAGACGAGCACAUUUCUAUUAGAGAGGGAGCUUCCCUGCUCGCUCUUUUCCUCCCC